rnacentral:rRNA from 1 species
AGCGAACAGAUAAGGAGCUUGCUCCUUUGACGUUAGCGGCGGACGGGUGAGUAACACGUGGGUAACCUACCUAUAAGACUGGGAUAACUUCGGGAAACCGGAGCUAAUACCGGAUAACAUUUGGAACCGCAUGGUUCUAAAGUGAAAGAUGGUUUUGCUAUCACUUAUAGAUGGACCCGCGCCGUAUUAGCUAGUUGGUAAGGUAACGGCUUACCAAGGCGACGAUACGUAGCCGACCUGAGAGGGUGAUCGGCCACACUGGAACUGAGACACGGUCCAGACUCCUACGGGAGGCAGCAGUAGGGAAUCUUCCGCAAUGGGCGAAAGCCUGACGGAGCAACGCCGCGUGAGUGAUGAAGGGUUUCGGCUCGUAAAACUCUGUUAUUAGGGAAGAACAAAUGUGUAAGUAACUGUGCACGUCUUGACGGUACCUAAUCAGAAAGCCACGGCUAACUACGUGCCAGCAGCCGCGGUAAUACGUAGGUGGCAAGCGUUAUCCGGAAUUAUUGGGCGUAAAGCGCGCGUAGGCGGUUUCUUAAGUCUGAUGUGAAAGCCCACGGCUCAACCGUGGAGGGUCAUUGGAAACUGGGAAACUUGAGUGCAGAAGAGGAAAGUGGAAUUCCAUGUGUAGCGGUGAAAUGCGCAGAGAUAUGGAGGAACACCAGUGGCGAAGGCGACUUUCUGGUCUGUAACUGACGCUGAUGUGCGAAAGCGUGGGGAUCAAACAGGAUUAGAUACCCUGGUAGUCCACGCCGUAAACGAUGAGUGCUAAGUGUUAGGGGGUUUCCGCCCCUUAGUGCUGCAGCUAACGCAUUAAGCACUCCGCCUGGGGAGUACGACCGCAAGGUUGAAACUCAAAGGAAUUGACGGGGACCCGCACAAGCGGUGGAGCAUGUGGUUUAAUUCGAAGCAACGCGAAGAACCUUACCAAAUCUUGACAUCCUUUGAAAACUCUAGAGAUAGAGCUUUCCCCUUCGGGGGACAAAGUGACAGGUGGUGCAUGGUUGUCGUCAGCUCGUGUCGUGAGAUGUUGGGUUAAGUCCCGCAACGAGCGCAACCCUUAAGCUUAGUUGCCAUCAUUAAGUUGGGCACUCUAGGUUGACUGCCGGUGACAAACCGGAGGAAGGUGGGGAUGACGUCAAAUCAUCAUGCCCCUUAUGAUUUGGGCUACACACGUGCUACAAUGGACAAUACAAAGGGCAGCUAAACCGCGAGGUCAUGCAAAUCCCAUAAAGUUGUUCUCAGUUCGGAUUGUAGUCUGCAACUCGACUACAUGAAGCUGGAAUCGCUAGUAAUCGUAGAUCAGCAUGCUACGGUGAAUACGUUCCCGGGUCUUGUACACACCGCCCGUCACACCACGAGAGUUUGUAACACCCGAA